UUGAGCAUCUAAACAGAAAAUCUACAGGCAAAUAUGGUAUAAAACACAAAAAAUAGUACACCUGUAUAGGAUAACUCCACUGUAAUCUUACAGGACCACCAUCAUAUAUAUGGCUCAUUGUUGACUGAAACAUCCUUAUGUGGCACAUGAAUAACUACUUUUCUGAGAACCACACAUUCUAGUUUAGGUUGUAUUCAAUAAUAAAACUGUUUUAUUUCUUUACUACCUUUGCAGAAGAGUUUUCUCGAUUCUUCUACCCUUUAUUGCAUAUAUGUAAGCCUACGAAUGAAUUUGAAGAGAAACUUUAUUGAAAUUUUAUAUUGGAUUCUAGGCUGUGCUGGUUGGAAGUGUAGUUCUGUCAACUGAAUUUUGAGCCAAGUCAUGAUUAAUACAGCAUUUGCAUCUGGGUUUUUGUACUAGGUACAGGGAGUGAGAAUGGACAGCAGGAAAGUCUUCAUUUACUGCAACCUAUUGAGUAACUGCAUCAGCCAGAAUCAUUUAUUUGAGGCAAAAUGUCACAUUAAUUACCUUCUUGUGAAAUCUGGGGCUUUGGCUAGCCACUGCCUUAUGAUAUGCCAGAAUUUAAGUAGGGAAAUUCCCACCCAAGACUCUAAGAAAAUGUCAAAAUCAAAGAUCAGGUAAAGCUAUGAGUACAGUGAGAAAACAAAGUAAACAUAAACCAGAGCAAGGGCCACAGAAUUGGUAAAUUAGAAGAAACAGGAGAUGUGCAAAAAACUAAAUGUGAGCAUCAAGAUAUAAAAGCCAAGGGAAUAAGUGCAGAAGCUAGCAGAUCAAGAGCAAGUCUAAAAAAUUAAAAAAUAAUACCUAAAAGAGGUUAUCAUAAGACUAUCAUAACAGAAAAUAUAUUUACUAUUCAAUGAGUGGAAUUGGAUCACCAUAAAGGUCUUAAUCCUCAUCCUUUUCAUUCUAAGUAGGCUGAGGAGGAGGAGGGAGAAGAGGGGUUGGUCUUGCUGUCUUAGAGGUGGCAGAGGCAGAAGAAAAUCCACUUAUGAGUGGGCCCUCGCAGUUCAAACAUGUGUUGUUCACGGGGCAGCUAUAGACGUAAUACACAGAAAUACAUUGAGUACAACAUUACCUAAUUCAAAGUGCUCCAAGAGUGUACAUUAAAAACAUACAAACACAAAACCUCUAAAACUGUUAGGUAAAGAACCAUUAGCUAGUCAAAAGAGAAGUUAAAAUCUUCAUCGAUUGUGGGGGAUCAGUCAGAGUGGUGGGAAAAAGUAUAGGAAAGGACGCAAACCUUCUGCAAGGUCGGAAGGUUCUUCAGAGCCCCGGGGGAGAAUAGCUAAAGGCAGCUGUUACAAUAUUUCUAUAUAUACUGUUGCUGUUGAGCUGAUAACUGUUUUCCCAUGAUGAAAUCCUAACUUUAAAAUCCCCUAGAACUUGGAAAUCCCCUGCAGGCACAAAUUACUUACUGCACAGUCACUUCACUUUCGUUUACUAGGAUUCCCUCGCGAUCCGCAGCAGAGUUCCUCACACUGCGCACCACCCGCGGGGUCUGUCCCACAGACCUUGGCUGAUGGAUGAAAUGAGUACUCAAAGACAC
rnacentral:lncRNA from 10 species